rnacentral:rRNA from 1 species
GCAGGCAGCUAGCUUUCUGCAACUCUCACAUGCUCGCCCACUAAAGCUAGGCAGGGCUGCGCCUGGUCAGUACCUGGAUGGGAGACCGCUUGGGGCUUGGGAACACUAGGUUGCUGCUGGAG